rnacentral:rRNA from 1 species
AAUGAACGCUGGCGGCAGGCCUAACACGUGCAAGUCGAACGGAUCCUUCGGGAUUAGUGGCGGACGGGUGAGUAACGCGUGGGAACAUACCCAAAGGUACGGAAUAGCCUCGGGAAACUGGGAGUAAUAACGUAUGUGCUCGAAAGAGGAAAGAUUUAUCGCCUUUGGAUUGGCCCGCGUUGGAUUAGGUAGUUGGUGGGGUAAUGGCCUACCAAGCCGACGAUCCAUAGCUGGUUUGAGAGGAUGAUCAGCCACACUGGGACUGAAGACACGGCCCAGACUCCUACGGGAGGCAGCAGUGGGGAAUCUUAGACAAUGGGGGAAACCCUGAUCUAGCCAUGCCGCGUGAUCGAUGAAGGCCUUAGGGUUGUAAAGAUCUUUCAGGUGGGAAGAUAAUGACUGUACCACCAGAAGAAGCCCCGGCUAACUCCGUGCCAGCAGCCGCAGUAA